rnacentral:rRNA from 1 species
CGCUGGCGGCGUGCUUAACACCUGCACGUCGAACGGCAAGGCCCUGCUUUUGUGGGGUGCUCGAGUGGCGAACGGGUGAGUAACACGUGAGUAACCUGCCCUUGACUUUGGGAUAACUUCAGGAAACUGGGGCUAAUACCGGAUAGGAGCUCCUGCUGCAUGGUGGGGGUUGGAAAGUUUCGGCGGUUGGGGAUGGACUCGCGGCUUAUCAGCUUGUUGGUGGGGUAGUGGCUUACCAAGGCUUUGACGGGUAGCCGGCCUGAGAGGGUGACCGGCCACAUUGGGACUGAGAUACGGCCCAGACUCCUACGGGAGGCAGCAGUGGGGAAUAUUGCACAAUGGGCGGAAGCCUGAUGCAGCAACGCCGCGUGCGGGAUGACGGCCUUCGGGUUGUAAACCGCUUUCGCCUGUGACGAAGCGUGAGUGACGGUAAUGGGUAAAGAAGCACCGGCUAACUACGUG